AUGACACCAAAGGGCUACCGGCCCCUGAUCGCCAGAAGCGACCCUGCGCGGUCGGCUCAAGCUCCAGCGCCCAACGCCAAUGGGCGUCCCAGUGCGGCGAGUUCCCCCCGGAGAAAGCCGCGGCCGCCUCUCCGCGUGGCCCGGGGACUGAGGGGGGCCCCCACGACCCUCGUCCCCCAGUUGCGUGACGCAACAACUUCACAGCAGACCUCAUCGUGCAAGGGGAGGUGUUGGCGCGUGCAGCGUAGCCUGCGUGCCCGGGGCCGUCUCCAGGACGCGCGGGGAUAUUUUCAACAGGAAAGUCGACAGCCCCAUAAGCGCCGAGUCUGCGCAGCAGGCGGCCGAAUGCGUGUCUUUUUUGCCCUAAAUGAAAUGUGCGUUCUUCUAAAUUUAGCGCCAUCGCGUUUGAACAAUUGCGGCCUCGCGGAGCUAUUCCUGGUGUUUUCUCCGGGGCUGCGUGCACAUCCAAGUUCAAGGCCGCCUGCUGUAGUUUCACGGCGCACGCCCUCGGAGACCUUUGAUAAGGCUGUAUUUUUAGGAAGGCAUUUCGCUGCGCCUCCCUCUAGCUGGAGGACACUUGGGGAGCCGCCGGCCCCCGGCCCCGGCGUUCGUAAAUACCACCAGCUAAGGAGGUCAGAAGUGUGUGUUUCCCGUCGUGUGCUCGCCCCCCCGGCCGGAUGUGAUUUAUGGGGAACAGAUAUAGAUCACCCAGAAGUCUCUCGGCGUCCCCCAGGCGAGCCCCCACCCCCACCCCCCGACCGACGGACCCCCCGGGAACACGAGGACGGCGCUGGAUGGCUUUUAAGCCCCCGUCUCCAGGGAGCCUGAGCACACUGGGGGAGUAACCGCCGCGUGC
rnacentral:lncRNA from 1 species